AGAGCAAACAAGCUUGCUGAUUUGGAACUAAACCCUAAACCAUUCCUCCGUGGUUACAGAGAGGCUCUGGGAGACAGCAUGAGGCCGCUUAGCACUUCCCCAAUAUUAUGAGGAAAGCCAAAGGCCCAGAUGCCAUUUGAGAAAGAAGAACCAAGAAGGAAGGACUCCAAAAAAGGAAUAAACCAUCAAACAUUAGGCAUGUGAAGAUGUACCUGCUUCCCCUCCAACUUCAACAUAAUUACUCAAUUUCCCAUGCCUCUAGAGUUUCCUUUGCUGUGGACAGUGCAUCAAACAUGACCCAGGAACACUGGCCUCUCUACUGUUGAAUCUGCAGGGCUGGUAGGUAUGGG
rnacentral:lncRNA from 13 species